rnacentral:rRNA from 1 species
AAUACUUCUGCGAAGCAUCUGCCAAGGAUGUUUUCAUUAAUCAAGAACGAAAGUUAGGGGAUCGAAGACGAUCAGAUACCGUCGUAGUCUUAACCAUAAACGAUGCCGACCAGCGAUUAGGAGACGUUGAAUACAAAACACCACCAUCGGUUGCGCGGUC